AAGGACUCAAUAAUUAUGCAAAUAUUAAAAUAGCUGUUAUUAAUGUUUAUUAUAAUCCAUACCUGCGGGCACGUAAUGGCGUUUAAAUUAACCGUCGAUAUUUCGAGGUAAAAAGCGGACCCACCGUCCAGUGAUUAAUAUCGAGCCGUUAUCGUGUAAUUUGCUAAACUCGACCGGUGUUAAUGCGUACACUCCAUUUCAGAAAUCGCCAUAAUUUUUUAGCGUGCAAUUCGAGUAUCGUAUUAUUCGAGAGUCAUCUACUUAUAUAUUACACCGUUGGAGUCCCGGCAAUUAAGGAUAAAGAAACUACCUGGUACACCAACAAAUUCGAGUUUGUCACGUUUCCAUGAUGACGGUAUCUUUCCUGCAACCGAUACGGUGCUUUUUACCGAAACGAACAGCGCAAGAAGAAGAAGAAGAAGAUACGUAUCGUCCACUUUUGGAUAACGCAACGUUCAACUGACCAGUAAUUUCACGAGGGUCUAAAAAGAUUCUCUCCGGGUCGAGUUCUUCAGGGUGGCAACAGAGAAGAGCAAGAAGAAGAAUAAGAGGAGGCAGAAGAAGAAGGUAUCGGUACAUCGAUGUUAAACGAAAAUGAUGGAACGAUCCUGUACGCAUUACCGAUAACCAUUAACGCUAAUUGCUCGUCGAAUCGUAAUUUUCUAAAGGAGAAAGUUUGAUGGGCGAACGGGACGCUCGUAAAACGAGCUUCGACUGCUCGUCGCCGUCGUCCUGAGGUAUUGCAAAAUUAAUUAAGAGCGUCGAUGUGUUAUGAAUCGGCGGGAUAACGGGCGAUAAUCGUGACGCAAAUUUCAUCGUUUCGCUUUCGUAAUACGCGAAUCGUGAAAUCCUGUCCUAUGCCAGAUGAAGCGUACGAUAGAAGCAGACGUUCUUCUCCGUAUUUUUAUUGCCGGACAGAGGAGAAUAUUCCUCGCGAAUGGAAUACUUGCUCGAUGGAAAACGGAAUGUGGGACAAUCGAUGACCUCGUAUCGGGAAAACACGCAAGAGAGGAAACGGUUUCGAGGAAGACGAAGCACGACCGAAUAGAUUUUCCAAGAUUCACGAGUUCGCCUUUCGAUUAUUGAUACUGAACGGCAUGUUCGAUCGAGAGUUCGAUAAUGGUCGUAUUAUUUAUGUAACAUCGGAGGGAAUCUUACUUUCGCGUGGAGAAAGGGAGAAAACUUUUGAGAAACGGUGUUUCGAUUUCUACAAUCGUAUUCCGGGGAGUUGACAAUGUUUUCUGGCGGUUUUUGCGAUGUGAAAACUAGCUUCGGCUCUGCUACUCGUGGAAAAUACAGGAAGAUUGAAUUAUCUUAAGUAUAGUUCGAAUAUUCGAAUGUAAUGUGAAUACAAUAAUGAAUG